rnacentral:misc_RNA from 1 species
GAUGAAGAACGUAGCGAAAUGCGAUAAUUAAUGUGAAUUGCAGAAUUUAGUGAAUCAUCGAAUCUUUGAACGCACAUUGCGCCCCUUGGUAUUCCAUGGGGCAUGCCUGUUCGAGCGUCAUUUGUACCCUCAAGCUACCUAUUCAUUUUUAUUGAACAGCUUGGUGUUGGGUGUUUGUCCACUCCCGCGUGUUUGGACUCGCCUCAAAACAAUUGGCAGCCAGUGUUUUGGUAUUGAAGCGCAGCACAAUUUGCGAUUCUAGCCCAUGAAUACUAGCAACCAUCAAGCCCAUUUUUAACGCUUGACCUCGGAUCAGGUAGGGAUACCCGCUGAACUUAAGCAUAUCAAUAAGCGGAGGA